AGUCAAGUAAUUAAGUGCAUGUGGUGGAUGCCUUGGCAGUCAGAGGCGAUGAAAGACGUGAUAGCCUGCGAAAAGCUCCGGGGAGGCGGCAAAUAUCCUUUGAUCCGGAGAUGUCUGAAUGGGGGAACCCACCUACUUUAAGGUAGGUAUUGCAACAUGAAUACAUAGUGUUGCAAGGCGAACGAGGGGAAGUGAAACAUCUCAGUACCCUUAGGAAAAGAAAUCAAUUGA
rnacentral:rRNA from 1 species